ensembl:lncRNA
UGAGAAGGGCGGAGUUUAGGGUAGGAGGAGGACAGAAAAGGAAUGAGAAGGGUGGAGUUUAGGGUAGGAGGAGGACAGAAAAGGAAUGAGAAGGGCGGAGUUUAGGGUAGGAGGAGGACAAAAGGAAUGAGAAGGGCGGAGUUUAGGGUAGGAGGAGGACAAAAGGAAUGAGAAGGGUGGAGUUUAGGGUAGGAGGGGAAUCUCAGUUGAGAUACAAGGCCCUCUUUGUGCAGCUCUGGUCAAGGCAUCUGGUAGUGAUCAAAAUGGUUGCCACUGGAGAAUACAGUCAAACUCCUACAGUAUGCAGUCAGAAGACCACACUGCUUUACAGGAGAGGACUGUCAUUCCCCAGUAGGUUAGGUGUUAUAGCAUAGGGUUGGGCCCUGUUAUGGAGAGGUGUAUUUUUUUAAUUAUUUAACUGACUUGCCUAGUUAAAUAAAGGUUAAGAACAAAUUCUUAUUUUUACAAUGACUGCCUAGGAUCAGUGGAUUAACUGCCUUGUUCAGGGGCAGACGAACUUAUUCUACUACACUACUUUGUCAGGCCCAGAGUUAUCCCUGUCCAGGAAGGGCCCAGAGUGUUUCUUGGUCUGGUCAGGUUAAACUCCUGGCCCUACUACUCAUAAUGCCAGUAGACAGACGGACAGUCUGAUCGAGACACCCUAUGAUGUCAUAUAAAUGUAGACACUAGGGGGCAGUCCCGCUCUCGCAGAAGGUGGUGGAGAGAAGAAGAAGAAUCCCAUCAGAAGCCAUUCCUAAGCAACCGACAGUCUCCUUUUCCCCCUUGACUUGAUUUGGCAGCCAACCUGAGCUGGAUGAUGUCAUGGUUUUACAGUCUGUUCAAUGCAAUACAGCAACAAUGUCAUGUGGGGCAACAGGAGUCAUAUGGCCUUUCCAUGGUUUUGUUCAAUCAUUCGAGACCAUCAGACAAAGGUCUGGGUUCAUGUUAAUGAUGUGUAUAUAAGCACUAGAUUGUGACUAUACGCUGAGUGUACAAAACAUUAGGAACACCUGCUUUUUCCAUGACAUAGACUGACCAGGUGAAAUCUAUGAUCCCAUAUUAUUGUCGCUUAUUAAAUCUACUUCAAUCAGUGUAGAUGAAGGGGAGGAGACGGGUUGAAGAAGGAUUUUUAAACCUUGAGACAAUUGAGACAUGCAUUGUGUAUGUGUGCCAUUCAGAGGGCGAAUGAGCAAGACAAAAUAUUGACGUUCCUUUGAACAGGAUAUGGUAGUAGGUGCCAGGCGCACUGGUUUGUGUCAAGAACUGCAACGCUGCUGGGUUUUUCACACUCAACAGUUUUUUUUGUGUGUAUCAAGAAUGUUCCACCACCCAAAGGACAUCCAGCCAACUUGACACAACUGUGGGAAGCAUUGGAGUCGACAUGGGCCAGCAUCCCUGUGGAACGCUUUCAACACCUUGUCGAGUCCAUGCCCCCGACGAACUGAGACUGUUCUGAGGACAAAAGGAGGUGACACUCAAUAUUAGCAAGGUGUUCUUAAUGUUUUGUACACUCAGUUAAGAAAACUAUUCCAUGGGUUGAAACAGACUUUCACCAUCUAUGAAUGGAUUCCGGAUGUUUCUAGGGAUCUGUUAUUCGUUUAUGAAUCAUUUGCUCUCUCUCUCGCUCUCCCUCCCUCCUUCUGACCCUCCUGCUCUCUCAAAAUCCCUCUCUCCUUCUGACCAUCCUUCUCUCCAUCCUUCUAUCUCCCUCUCUCUCUCCUUCUGACCCUCCUGCUCUCUCAAAAUCCC